AGCUCACUGGUCGAGUGACCCCGCGCCGAAAAUGUACCGGGGCUAAACAUAUUACCGAAACUGUGGAUGAACCUCUUUAGAGGUUCGUGGUAGGAGAGCGUUCUAAGGGCGGUGAAGUCAGACCGGAAGGACUGGUGGAGCGCUUAGAAGUGAGAAUGCCGGUAUGAGUAGCGAAAGAAGGGUGAGAAUCCCUUCCACCGAAUAUCUAAGGUUUCCUGAGGAAGGCUCGUCCGCUCAGGGUUAGUCGGGACCUAAGCCGAGGCCGAUAGGCGUAGGCGAUGGACAACAGGUAGAGAUUCCUGUACCAGUGCUAAUUGUUUAACCGAUGGGGUGACACAGAAGGAUAGGGAAUCGCACGAAUGGAAAUGUGCGUCCAAGCAGUGAGUGUGAGAAGUAGGCAAAUCCGCUUCUCGCGAAGCAUGAGCUGUGAUGGGGAAGGAAAUUAAGUACGGAAGUUCCUGAUUUCACGCUGUCAAGAAAAGCCUCUAGGAAGAGUAGUACUGCCCGUACCGCAAACCGACACAGGUAGAUGAGGAGAGAAUCCUAAGGUGAGCGAGAGAACUCUCGUUAAGGAACUCGGCAAAAUGACCCCGUAACUUCGGGAGAAGGGGUGCUCUAUUAGGGUGCAAGCCCGAGAGAGCCGCAGUGAAUAGGCCCAGGCGACUGUUUAGCAAAAACACAGGUCUCUGCAAAACCGUAAGGUGACGUAUAGGGGCUGACGCCUGCCCGGUGCUGGAAGGUUAAGAGGAGUGCUUAGCUUCGGCGAAGGUACGAAUUGAAGCCCCAGUAAACGGCGGCCGUAACUAUAACGGUCCUAAGGUAGCGAAAUUCCUUGUCGGGUAAGUUCCGACCCGCACGAAAGGCGCAACGAUCUGGGCACUGUCUCAACGAGAGACUCGGUGAAAUUAUAGUACCUGUGAAGAUGCAGGUUACCCGCGACAGGACGGAAAGACCCCGUGGAGCUUUACUGCAACCUGAUAUGGAAUGUUUGUACCGCUUGUACAGGAUAGGUAGGAGCCGAAGAGACGUGUGCGCUAGCAUACGAGGAGGCAAUGGUGGGAUACUACCCUGGCUGUAUGACCAUUCUAACCCGCCACGCUUAGCGCGUGGGGAGACAGUGUCAGGUGGGCAGUUUGACUGGGGCGGUCGCCUCCUAAAGAGUAACGGAGGCGCCCAAAGGUUCCCUCAGAAUGGAUGGAAAUCAUUCGCAGAGUGUAAAGGCACAAGGGAGCUUGACUGCGAGACUGACAAGUCGAGCAGGGACGAAAGUCGGGCUUAGUGAUCCGGUGGUUCCGCAUGGAAGGGCCAUCGCUCAACGGAUAAAAGCUACCCCGGGGAUAACAGGCUUAUCUCCCCCAAGAGUCCACAUCGACGGGGAGGUUUGGCACCUCGAUGUCGGCUCGUCGCAUCCUGGGGCUGUAGUCGGUCCCAAGGGUUGGGCUGUUCGCCCAUUAAAGCGGCACGCGAGCUGGGUUCAGAACGUCGUGAGACAGUUCGGUCCCUAUCCGUCGCGGGCGCAGGAAAUUUGAGAGGAGCUGUCCUUAGUACGAGAGGACCGGGAUGGACACACCGCUGGUGUACCAGUUGUUCCGCCAGGAGCAUCGCUGGGUAGCUAUGUGUGGCAGGGAUAAACGCUGAAAGCAUCUAAGCGUGAAGCCCCCCUCAAGAUGAGAUUUCCCAUUUCUUCGGAAAGUAAGAUCCCUGAAAGAUGAUCAGGUAGAUAGGUUUGGAGUGGAAGUGUAGCGAUACAUGGAGCGGACAAAUACUAAUCGAUCGAGGACUUAACCAAAA
rnacentral:rRNA from 1 species